CUGCAGCUAAUGAAGCCAACCAUGCUCCUUUCCUCAUGGGGACCUGGUGUGCAGUGGCUGUAAACAGCAGUCUCCUUGGUGGUAUAUGCAGCCUGUUGCUUGUAUGGGUUGCUCUAAGACACCUUGGAGACAUUC
ensembl:snoRNA SNORA70 Small nucleolar RNA SNORA70